CCUACGGGAGGCAGCAGUGAGGAAUAUUGGUCAAUGGGCGAGAGCCUGAACCAGCCAAGUCGCGUGAGGGAGUACUGCCCUAUGGGUUGUAAACCUCUUUUGUCGGGGAGCAAAAGCCGGACGUGUCCGGCUGUGAGAGUACCCGAAGAAAAAGCAUCGGCUAACUCCGUGCCAGCAGCCGCGGUAAUACGGAGGAUGCGAGCGUGAUCCGGAUUUAUUGGGUUUAAAGGGUGCGCAGGGGGAUUUUUAAGUCAGCGGGAAAAUCGUGGGGCUCAACCCCAUCCAGCCGUUGAAACUGGGGAACUUGAGUGUGCGAGAGGUAUGCGGAAUGCGAGGUGUAGCGGUGGAAUGCAUAGAUAUCACGCAGAACCCCGAUUGCGAAGGCAGCAUACCGGUGCACAACUGACGCUCAGGCACGAAAGCGUGGGUAUCGAACAGGAUUAGAUACCCCAGUAGUC
rnacentral:rRNA from 1 species